UUCCAUUGUCUUCCCUAAAAUUGGCGAGAUUGACUAUUUUACCACCUUCUUAGUUCUCAUUUUAUGUAGAAUAGAAUAAAGCCGAUUGAAAUCAGGAUUUAAGGGGCAUUUUUAUUACCAAAUGAGCUAGCAACUCAACUGCCAUUGUCCACAUUGUGUAAUAGCCAUAGGCAAAUUAUACGCAAGAGUUUCAGUCCUUCACUAGGCCACUUAUCCCCUUCCCCUACUGAAAUGGUGCCUUGGUGCUAUCACCUCCAAUAUACAAAAAGGAAAGGCGUCAUUUUGGUCAAAAGUUCAUGAUGUAACAGCUGAAGAAUGAAUGACUAACUAUGCCUCCAAGGUAACUAUGCCUCCAAGGUUCCCUUACAUAGUAACUCAAGUAAAUAGAAAUUUAAUGUGACUUGAGGCUACGAGACUAGCAAUUAUAUAAUAGAGGGAUAGUCAUUGAAUUGCUUGUUACCAAGUCAGUUGUUUUUCUUAAUAAAGAGUUGGACAAUUAACUGAAUUUAUAAAUAAAAAAGAACUUACCCUUCUCGAACCAAGCAAUAUAAAAAGGGAUACCAUAUCUUGUACUAAAAGCAAUAUACUUUCACUGCACUUCAGAUGCACCGGAUGCUCGAACUUCUGCACGUUUAAACCUAUAAGCCUCUGCCAAAACUUAUUUAAAAGAAUAGUUUUACAAUAGAAACUCCGUCCUGAUCAUUUGAACUGUGGGAUUUAUGCACUGCAAGGAAUAUCUGAUGUUUCAACAUCACACAUUUCUCCAUCAUAUGAAAGUGGAACCAAUAUUACAGUAUGAAACCCACAACCAUUACAAGAUUCAUGGGGUGAUGAAGACUCUUGGAACUUCCCCCUUUCUUCUAAUUGCUUGGCAUCAAUAUCAUUUAGUUGUGGUUCAUGCUGCCUUUUCAAUUCUCCAAUUCUUUUAUCAUAUUCAUUAUUGAAAACCUUGAGCUUUUCUGUUCUCAUCAUUGCAUGAAUAAGUUAGAUAAGCGGCCAACUCUACUCUGCGCCUUAUCUGUUGUCAACUUCCCCCUUUCUUCUAAUUGCUUGGCAUCAAUAUCAUUUAGUUGUGGUUCAUGCUGCCUUUUCAAUUCUCCAAUUCUUUUAUCAUAUUCAUUAUUGAAAACCUUGAGCUUUUCUGUUCUCAUCAUUGCAUGAAUAAGUUAGAUAAGCGGCCAACUCUACUCUGCGCCUUAUCUGUUGUCAACUUCUUCGCUUCCUCCUGUUGGAACUGAGGAAACAAAUCUGGAAAUUUGAU
rnacentral:lncRNA from 1 species